rnacentral:rRNA from 1 species
CCUACGGGAGGCAGCAGUGAGGAAUAUUGGUCAAUGGGAGAAAUCCUGAACCAGCCAAGCCGCGUGAGGGAAGACGGCCCUAUGGGUUGUAAACCUCUUUUGUGGGAGAACAAAACCCGGGACGUGUCCCGGACUGCGUGUACCCGAAGAAAAAGCAUCGGCUAACUCCGUGCCAGCAGCCGCGGUAAUGCGGAGGGUGCGAGCGUUAUCCGGAUUUAUUGGGUUUAAAGGGUGCGUAGGCGGUCCGUUAAGUCAGCGGUAAAAUGGCGGGGCUCAACCCCGUCGAGCCGUUGACACUGGCAGACUUGAGUGGGCGAGAAGUACGCGGAAUGCGCGGUGUAGCGGUGAAAUGCAUAGAUAUCGCGCAGAACUCCGAUUGCGAAGGCAGCGUACCGGCGCGAGACUGACGCUGAGGCACGAAAGCGGGGGGAUCGAACAGGAUUAGAUACCCUUGUAGUC